GGGAACCUGCCUCAAAGAGGGGGACAACAGUUGGAAACGACUGCUAAUACCGCAUAAGCCCACGGCUCGGCAUCGAGCAGAGGGAAAAGGAGCAAUCCGCUUUGAGAUGGCCUCGCGUCCGAUUAGCUAGUUGGUGAGGUAAACGGCCCACCAAGGCAACGAUCGGUAGCCGGACUGAGAGGUUGAACGGCCACAUUGGGACUGAGACACGGCCCAGACUCCUACGGGAGGCAGCAGUGGGGAAUAUUGCACAAUGGGGGAAACCCUGAUGCAGCGACGCCGCGUGAAGGAAGAAGGCCUUCGGGUUGUAAACUUCUUUUACCAGGGACGGAGGACGUGACGGUACCUGGAGAAAAGCAACGGCUAACUACGUG
rnacentral:rRNA from 1 species